GUCACUGGACCUCAGAUACUAAAAGGACAAAGAAAAGGGACAGAUGAGAACAGCUACGAAGCGAUAGUGAAAACAUAUGGUGUCCAUCUUGUAAGCAUAAGGCUCCCUGGUAUUGCUGCCACUCUCCCUGUGCUCAGGAAAGCUGGAAGAAGCCAGUACGCAAUCUGGUGUCUCGUCAGAAGAGUGCCAGAAACAGGUGUUGCCGACCUAACCCUUUUCUCCUACCACAGAUUCUCUCGGUGGUCGGGCGCAGUGGCUCGUGCUUGUAAUCCCAGCACUUUGGAAGAUGGAGAUGGGCAGAUUACCUGAGGUCAGGAGUUUAAGACCAGCCUGGCCAACAUGGCAAAACCCCGUCUCUACUAAAAAUGCAAAAAUUAGCUGGGUGUGGUGGUGCUCACCUGUAGUCCAAGUUACUCAGGAGGCUGAUGCAGAAAAAUCGCUUGAACCUGGGAGGAGGAAGUUGCAGUGAGCCGAGAUCACGCCACUUCAUGCACUCCAGCCUGGGCAACAGAGCAAGACUCUGUCUCAAAAAUAAAUAAAUAAAUAAAUAAAUAAAUAAAUAAAUAAAUAAAAUGUUUCAGGUUCUCUCUUGUCUCCAAACCAUUGCUAUUGCUAUGUUCCAAGGAACAUAUGUUCCAAGGAAAAUAUUAUUUCCUCUAGAAAGCCCGACUGCCUCUCAGGUUUGUUAGGUGCUUUCCUGCUGCACCCUGUCAGAGCACAAAAUGGUAAUCGCAGUUUGUCUGUCCCCCCAUUAGUCUUUAAACGAAUUAGACUUUAAAUUCUAAAAGCAG
rnacentral:antisense_RNA from 1 species